rnacentral:rRNA from 1 species
UACGGAGGGUGCAAGCGUUAUCCGGAAUGAUUGGGCGUAAAGCGUCCGCAGGUGGCUUUGUAAGUCUGCUGUUAAAGAGUGAGGCUCAACCUCAUAAAAGCAGUGGAAACUACAUGGCUAGAGUGCGUUCGGGGCAGAGGGGAUUCCUGGUGUAGCGGUGAAAUGCGUAGAGAUCAGGAAGAACACCGGUGGCGAAAGCGCUCUACUGGACCGCAACUGACACUCAGGGACGAAAGCUAGGGGAGCGAAUGGG